UACGUAGGUGGCAAGCGUUGUUCGGAAUUAUUGGGCGUAAAGGGUGCGUAGGCGGCCCGUUAAGUCAGUGGUGAAAGCCUCCAGCUCAACUGGAGAACUGCCAUUGAUACUGACGGGCUUGAGUACAGACGAGGUAGGCGGAAUUGAUUGUGUAGCGGUGAAAUGCAUAGAUACAAUCAAGAACUCCGAUUGCGUAGGCAGCUUACUAGGCUGUAACUGACGCUGAGGCACGAAAGCGUGGGGAGCGAACAGG
rnacentral:rRNA from 1 species